rnacentral:rRNA from 1 species
UACAGAGGGGGCAAGCGUUAUUCGGAAUUAUUGGGCGUAAAGGGCGCGUAGGCGGCCUGGCAAGUGGAAGGUGAAAUCCCUCGGCUUAACCGAGGAACUGCCCUCCAAACUGCUUGGCUUGAGUCCGGGAGAGGUGAGUGGAAUUCCCAGUGUAGCGGUGAAAUGCGUAGAUAUUGGGAGGAACACCAGUGGCGAAGGCGGUUCUCUGGGCAUGUCCUGACGCUGAGGAGCGAAAGUGUGGGGAGCGAACAGG